AAUUCCUGUGCCUGUGCUAAGAUUUAAUCAGUCCCCCGUGGGAGCUGCAUUAAAAGGGAAUGCUCCAAGGCCUGGAGCAGUGUGCGGGGAUGUGAAUAAAAAUCAUGGAGUCGGUGCCACCCCGGCCCCAGCUGAAUGCUUUUCACAGAUGGGGAGCUGGAAAUGCUGAAUGAAAUCAUUCCAGGCUUGUCACAGAACCUGGCAGAGCAGCCACCAGCAUGGAAAUGUGGUUUUGUCAUGUAUUUCACACUGAAACCUGCUGAGUGCAGCUUGGGCCAGGGAUGCUGACACUUCUUGCCCAGUGGGAUUCCCUGCCCUGCCACAACCUCAGAGCAAAACCUGAACCCAAGGCUUCAGCUGUCGUGAGGAGGAGCAGGAAACCCAAACAGCAGCAGAGUUUUGACGUGACCCAGAUGAAAUUUCGAGCCUGACUCUUUGAACUGGGUUUUUUUCCCUCAGACCAUGGCAUGUUGCACACCCUCCCGAGCCCCCAGCCCUCCUCCAGCAGGCUGGGGAAGAGCAUCCUGUGAGAUUUCCUUCGUUAGUAUGGAUUUAUGCUUCUGGAGCACUCUUGAUGGUUUGUUUUCUCCCCCUUUCUACAUAAAAAAUGAGUUGCUUUUGUAGCGCUCAGCAUUGUGUUAUGAAUAUUAAUCCAGAGGGUUUAUUUUUGUUAUU